GCCGACAGGUCCGGGAAACCCGUUGAACCCCGGUCGUGCUAGGGAUAGGGAAUUGCAAUUAUUUCCCUUGAACGAGGAAUUCCCAGUAAGCGCGAGUCAUUAGCUCGCGUUGAUUACGUCCCUGCCCUUUGUACACACCGCCCGUCGCUACUACCGAUUGAAUGGUUUAGUGAGGUCCUCCGAUUGGACCCGGUCCGGGCGGCGACGUCCGAGCCGGCGUCCGAGAAGACGAUCUAACUUGAUCAUUUAGAGGAAGUAAAAGUCGUAACAAGGUUUCCGUAGGUGAACCUGCGGAAGGAUCAUUA
rnacentral:ncRNA from 1 species